AUGGAUGGACACCAUGUGAAAAGUAGAGAGGAGAUGAUCAGUUGCCCAAGGCCACUCAGUGGCACCAGGAGAAAAUACUUUUUACUGUCUUCUGCAGUCAACAAGGAAAAAAGGCUUUGAAGACUAUGCUACAAGCAUUUCAGCUUCUUUCCCCUGAGACUGAAGUAUCAUAGCAAUUGAAGAUGUCAAUUACUUUUAAAGCAAGCUGUUUAUAGACCAUUAUUCCCAAGGCUUUAUUUGCUUGCUUCCUUUCGCAAGUGAGAUGGUGGAGA
rnacentral:lncRNA from 1 species